CAAAAAAUAAAUCCAUUAACACACUUCCUAACCUUUUUGCAUGGCUGACGCACAAACCGUGCAGACCAAGAAAUGGGAGAAAAAAAAAAACACAUUUUACUAAAACUUUUUCUGAAGAAUAUAAAUACUUUUGAGAAAUUUAUCAAAAAUGCGACCAGAAGAGAUUGAGAGCAUAUCAAAGCGGUUAGAAAAUGGUGAAAUUUCGGAAGACAAUUCUACCGACAAUGAAGAUGACAUAAACUAUUAUUCGAGCCAAAGAGAUCGUCUGAUGGAGCUAGAAGAUGAAGAGGAUAUAGUGUAUAGGGGAAGUCCGGGCAUAGUGGAUAGGCCAGGCAAAGUGAAUACGCUUUAUUUUUCGUCAAGAACAUAUCGAAACACGCCCGCCUCGCGACAUUACAUUGCCCCGCCCGUCCGCAUUCGUGGGCAAACAGAGCUAGCGGAGGGUUGCGUCGCGAUCGAGAGAAAAAUCGAAACUAAAUAGUGAAGUUUUCUUAUUACUUUUCAAGAUGGUAUAUAGAUUAAAUACAAGAAGAAAUAUCAACCAAGUCCAUUGGGGUGAGAACAAUAUGAUGCUUGCGAUAGCAGAUUCUGUCAUUCCUGUGAAAACGAUCGCAAAAAAGUAUGUUCUAUCUUAAGCCGCUC